AGUACGGCCGCAAGGUUAAAACUCAAAUGAAUUGACGGGGGCCCGCACAAGCGGUGGAGCAUGUGGUUUAAUUCGAUGCAACGCGAAGAACCUUACCUACUCUUGACAUCCAGAGAAUUUGGCAGAGAUGCCUUAGUGCCUUCGGGAACUCUGAGACAGGUGCUGCAUGGCUGUCGUCAGCUCGUGUUGUGAAAUGUUGGGUUAAGUCCCGCAACGAGCGCAACCCUUAUCCUUUGUUGCCAGCGCGUAAUGGCGGGAACUCAAAGGAGACUGCCGGUGAUAAACCGGAGGAAGGUGGGGAUGACGUCAAGUCAUCAUGGCCCUUACGAGUAGGGCUACACACGUGCUACAAUGGCGUAUACAAAGAGAAGCGAACUCGCGAGAGCCAGCGGACCUCAUAAAGUACGUCGUAGUCCGGAUUGGAGUCUGCAACUCGACUCCAUGAAGUCGGAAUCGCUAGUAAUCGUAGAUCAGAAUGCUACGGUGAAUA
rnacentral:rRNA from 1 species